rnacentral:rRNA from 1 species
ACGGGGGGUGCAAGCGUUGUUCGGAAUCAUUGGGCGUAAAGCGCGCGCAGGCGGCUUGGUAAGUCAGAUGUGAAAUCCCUGGGCUUAACCCAGGAAGUGCAUUUGAUACUGCCUCGCUAGAGUACGGGAGAGGAAAGUGGAAUUCCUGGUGUAGAGGUGAAAUUCGUAGAUAUCAGGAGGAACACCGGUGGCGAAGGCGACUAUCUGGCCCGAUACUGCGGCUCAUGCGCGAGAGCGUGUUGACCAAAAAG